GACAGAGGGUGCAAACGUUGCUCGGAAUCACUGGGCGUAAAGGGCGUGUAGGCGGGACAGUAAGUCGGGCGUGAAAUCCCUGGGCUCAACCCAGGAACUGCACUCGAAACUACUAUUCUUGAGUGUCGGAGAGGAAAGCGGAAUUCCUGGUGUAGAGGUGAAAUUCGUAGAUAUCAGGAGGAACACCAAUAGCGAAGGCAGCUCGCUGGGACGUUACUGACACUGAGGCGCGAAAGCGUGGGGAGCGAACAGG
rnacentral:rRNA from 1 species